rnacentral:rRNA from 1 species
UAGGGAAUCUUCCGCAAUGGACGGAAGUCUGACGGAGCAACGCCGCGUGAGCGAAGAAGGUCUUCGGAUCGUAAAGCUCUGUUGUGAGGGAAGAACAAGGAUGGGAGUAACUGUCUAUUCUUUGACGGUACCUCACCAGAAAGCCACGGCUAACUACGUGCCAGCAGCCGCGGUAAUACGUAGGUGGCAAGCGUUGUCCGGAAUUAUUGGGCGUAAAGGGCGCGCAGGCGGUUCCUUAAGUCUGAUGUGAAACCUUGCGGCUUAACCGCAAGCGGUCAUUGGAAACUGGGGGACUUGAGUGCAGAAGAGGAGAGUGGAAUUCCACGUGUAGCGGUGAAAUGCGUAGAGAUGUGGAGGAACACCAGUGGCGAAGGCGGCUCUCUGGUCUGCAACUGACGCUGAGGCGCGAAAGCGUGGGUAGCGAACA